rnacentral:lncRNA from 1 species
GAUGACAGUGUGCACCACCACACCCAGCUAAUUUUUUUUUUUUUGGUCUUGCUGUGUUGCCCGGGCUGGACUCAAGUGAUCUUCCCUUCUCAGCCUCUCAAAGUGCUGGAAUUACAGGCAUGAGCCACCGUGCCCAGCCAGAGAAAUAACCAUGGAUAUGGGUAGAGACAGAGCCAUAUGGAAUGCACACUGCAGUGGUGAACACAUGGCCCAGCUCUGCCAUCAAGGAGAAGGAACAUGAAUGGAGCUGGAGGCCAUCAUCCUUAGUGAACUAACACAGGAGCAGAAAACCAAAUACCACAUGUUCUCAUGUGUAAGUGGGAGCUAAAUGAUGAGAACACAUGGACACAAAGAGGGGAACAACAGACACUGAAGCCUCCUUGAGGGAGGAGGGUAAGAGGAAGGAGAAGAUCAGAAAAGAUAACUACCAGGUACUAUGGUAGCUUAGUACCUGGGUGAUGAAAUAAUCUGUACACCCAACCCUCAUGACAGAAGUUUACCUGUGUAACAAACCUGCACAUGUAUCCCUGAAACUAAAAGUUUUUUAAAAAGUUAUUUAAUAUAUAUAUAUUUUUUUGAGACGGAGUUUUGCUCUUGUUGCCCAGGCUGGAGUGCGGUGGCGCAAUUUCGGCUCACCACAACCUCCGCCUCCCAGGUUCAAGCUAUUCCCCUGCCUCAGCCUCCCUAGUAGCUGGGAUUACAGGCUUGUGCCACCACGCCGGCUAAUUUUGUAUUUUUUGUAGAGACGGGGUUUCUCCAUGUUGGUCAGGCUGGUCUCGAACUCCCGACCUCAGGUGAUCCACCCCCCUCGGCCUCCCAAAGUGCUAGGAUUACAGGCAUGAGCCACUGCGCCCGGCAAAAAGUUAUUUAAUAUUAAUGGGACAAUACUCAUUGCAAGAAUCAGACUUCAAUUGCUAGCAUAAGUAAAUGACAGGCAGGAGAUAUUGAAAAUGCAAUCUUAUAGACAUUCAAGGAGAGGACGCAGGACAUUUCUGUGUCAUAAAUGUACUAUGGAAAAUAAAAAUGAGAAAAAUGGAAAUAAAAUACAAGAAAAGGUUAUGAUAAAUUUCAUAUUAUUUUACCACAAUAAAAAAAUUUUAAUAAAUU